rnacentral:misc_RNA from 1 species
AACGGUCUAUACCUGCGGUACCUGCGGAGGGAUCAUUACCGAGUUAUCAACUCCCAAACCCCUGUGAACAUACCCGAACGUUGCCUCGGCGGGACCGCCCCGGCGCCCCUAGCGGCCCGGAACCAGGCGCCCGCCGGAGGACCCAAACUCUUGCUUUAAACAGUGGCAUACUCUCUGAGUCUCACAAACAAUAAAUAAAUCAAAACUUUCAGCAACGGAUCUCUAGAUCGGAAGAGCACA